ACGGGUGAGUAAUGUCUGGGAAACUGCCCGAUGGAGGGGGAUAACUACUGGAAACGGUAGCUAAUACCGCAUAACGUCGCAAGACCAAAGAGGGGGACCUUCGGGCCUCUUGCCAUCGGAUGUGCCCAGAUGGGAUUAGCUUGCUGGUGAGGUAAUGGCUCACCAAGGCGACGAUCCCUAGCUGGUCUGAGAGGAUGACCAGCCACACUGGAACUGAGACACGGUCCAGACUCCUACGGGAGGCAGCAGUGGGGAAUAUUGCACAAUGGGCGCAAGCCUGAUGCAGCCAUGCCGCGUGUAUGAAGAAGGCCUUCGGGUUGUAAAGUACUUUCAGCGGGGAGGAAGGCGAUACGGUUAAUAACCGUGUCGAUUGACGUUACCCGCAGAAGAAGCACCGGCUAACUCCGUGCCAGCAGCCGCGGUAAUACGGAGGGUGCAAGCGUUAAUCGGAAUUACUGGGCGUAAAGCGCACGCAGGCGGUCUGUCAAGUCGGAUGUGAAAUCCCCGGGCUCAACCUGGGAACUGCAUUCGAAACUGGCAGGCUUGAGUCUUGUAGAGGGGGGUAGAAUUCCAGGUGUAGCGG
rnacentral:rRNA from 1 species